UCAGGCAUGGUGUAGUGGGAACACGGCCUCUAGUUAUGUUCUAUCGCUUCUCUUUUAUGAAGGCAAUCCAGGGUUCGACUCCCUGUAUCUGAG